rnacentral:lncRNA from 1 species
UUUUUUUUUUUUUGCCCCCUCUAUGCUUUGUUCGGUUCUGGGUAGCACUGCGAUUGACAUCUAUAGAAGAUUCUGAAUUUUUUUAGCAUUGUAGGAUUAACUGAAUUUUGCUGGCACAGGAUGAAGUAAGCCAUGCCAGGACCAUGAGCAGCCUGUCGGGAAUUGGUAGUGGUAAGUAUACUUGCUUCACCGUCUAUGUACUGUCCUUCUCCUGAUGGCUGAUGCUGUGGGCGUGGGGGUACUGAAAUUUCAACCCUUACUACGAAUUUGCAGAACUGAAUGAUGAAUCUGGGAAACCCAUCUGGAAGAACAGGGUGGAGAGUUGGAAGGAGAAGAAGAACGAGAAGAAAGCCUCAGCCAAAAAGGCUGCAGCAAAAGCACAGCCUCCACCUGUCGAAGAACAGAUCAUGGAUGAAAAGGAGUAAGGAUCAAGCACCCAUUUAUAGAUCUUUUCAAUGACUCCUUGAUGACCAAUCCUUCUAUAUGAAUAAGAUGAUAUUAUAAAUGAAUUGUGAAUAUAUUAAAUCAUAUUUGGUUAGAUGAAGUUGGGAAUGCUUUUAGAUGAUCGUUGUUCUGUUAUAAUCUUCCUUCUUAAUUAAAAGUCCACCUAGUUCCUCCUAGGUAUGUUAAACGAUUGUUUGUACUUACGAGAUCCCACAUCAUCUGUAUUUAAAACCGAACUUGGUGUCUGAUGUAGUUACUGUCUUAGGAUAUAAAGCAACUUUUCUAUGCUGGAGUAGUGAAGUAAAACACCCAACUAAUUCUUGAAUACAUAUAUUUACAUGCUUCGUAUCUCAUUAUUAGGCCUCAUUUUGAUCUAAGCCAUCGCCUCAACUAUGGCUAAGCCUGAUCUGCUAGCAAUUCUUUAUUUAGUUCUAUGUUCAACCUACCAACAAGUGAACUCUCUCCUAGCCUAUUUCACAAUAUUUUCAACUCUGCAUCGAUUUUCUGAUAAGAUGCCAGAAAAGUCUCCAUCUCAUCGUUUCAUCUAUAGUAUAUGUGUCUGAUUUUGAGCGUGGACCUCAAGUUAGAAGACUUUGCGAUAAUUUUCCCAAAAAUGUGAUGUUUCUCUCUACUCAUGCUGUAACAAAAAACAAUUUUGCAGUUUGACAGACGCGUAUGAGCCACUCUCCCGUGUCAUCCCUAUAUCAAAGAACAAGCUCACACCUUACAGAGCGGUUAUCAUUAUGCGUUUGGUAGUUCUCGGGCUCUUCUUUCACUACCGUAUCACCAAUCCUGUUUACAGUGCCUUUGGUCUCUGGAUGACAUCAGUCAUAUGUGAGAUCUGGUUUGCUUUCUCCUGGAUCUUGGAUCAAUUCCCCAAGUGGUAUCCUAUCAAUCGAGAGACUUAUGUUGAUAGGCUGACUGCACGGUAUGUUCCUAGAGCCUAAUAGCACAUAAGAAGACUAUAUACAUGCAUCAGUAAUCAUAAGUAUCUAAUAAAGCCUCCUCUCAUGUAUGUUACAGAUACGGAGAUGGUGAAGAUUCUGGGUUGGCACCUGUGGAUUUCUUUGUCAGUACAGUGGAUCCAUUGAAAGAGCCUCCACUAAUCACUGCAAACACUGUGUUGUCUAUUCUUGCUGUGGACUAUCCUGUUGAGAAGAUCUCAUGCUAUGUAUCUGACGAUGGUUCUGCUAUGCUCACAUUUGAAUCACUUGCCGAGACUGCCGAAUUUGCUAGAAAGUGGGUUCCAUUUUGCAAGAAAUAUGCCAUUGAGCCACGAGCUCCUGAGUUCUAUUUCUCGCAGAAGAUUGACUACUUGAAGGACAAGAUACACCCCUCUUUUGUUAAGGAGCGUAGGGCUAUGAAGGUACAUCCUGGUUGCACAGUUGAACGGUAUUUAUUAUUAUUACUGGCUAUGUCUUUUGUUGUUUAUGCAAUCAAUGUUGUAUUCAUACAGAGGGACUAUGAAGAAUACAAGGUGAGGAUAAAUGCUUUGGUUGCCAAAGCGCAGAAGACACCUGAGGAAGGCUGGAUCAUGCAAGAUGGUACACCAUGGCCUGGGAAUAAUCCUCGUGACCACCCUGGCAUGAUCCAGGUAAUUUGCUUUUCACUACUAUACAAGAUGUUGUACAGUUGUAGUCAUACUGCGCAUCCUUUUGAAGAGUAACUGCAUCUUUGGUCAAUGCAAAAUACGCCAUGCCUUUCCUCAUAAAAUAAAUUGGUAAACAACAAAAACAGCUCCAGCCUAGUCAUUUAUUUGUUCCACUUGGGCGUGCAAAUAUAUUCUGUAAAAAUAGUGUUACUUCAAUGGAUCAUAUUGUGUAUACUAAUUGUGUCUUAUUGUUCAGGAUACAUUUAUUAACUAAUAUGAUGCAUGCUGAUCCUUGUUAGAAUGUCAAUUAAUGAUUUCCAUGUGGGCAAUAGCCUAUUCUUCAAGUUUACCCUUACCAUACCACUGGCCUUUGGUGAAUGGUGACAGGUUUUCCUCGGUGAGACUGGUGCCCGGGACUUUGAUGGAAAUGAACUUCCGCGGUUAGUGUAUGUUUCAAGAGAGAAAAGGCCAGGCUACCAACACCACAAAAAAGCAGGGGCUAUGAAUGCUCUGGUAUGACAGUCCUCAGCGAUAAUUACCGCAUACAGAAGUUCAUUCCAUGAUGAGAUUCUGAACGUUAACUAAUUGAGAGUUUUUCUAAUUUGGCAGGUCCGAGUGUCUGCUGUUCUGACAAAUGCUCCCUACAUUCUAAAUCUUGACUGUGAUCACUAUGUUAACAACAGCAAAGCCGUCCGUGAAGCAAUGUGCUUCAUGAUGGACCCUACUGUUGGCAGAGAUGUCUGCUAUGUGCAAUUCCCACAGAGGUUCGAUGGCAUCGACCGCAGUGAUCGAUAUGCCAACAGGAACGUUGUUUUCUUUGAUGUGAGUACUAAGCCGGUGACAUUUCAUUUUGCGUCUUAGUAAUCUUGACAUAACUUAUAUGUCCAUUCUUACAUUGAAUAGGUUAACAUGAAAGGACUUGAUGGGCUUCAAGGCCCAGUUUAUGUGGGAACUGGUUGUUGUUUCUAUAGGCAAGCUCUGUACGGUUAUGGGCCUCCAUCUCUACCUGCCCUUCCAAAGUCUUCGAUCUGUUCAUGGUGUUGUUGCUGCUGCCCCAAGAAAAAGGUUGAAAGAAGUGAGAGGGAAAUCAACAGAGACUCUCGGCGAGAAGACCUUGAGUCUGCCAUUUUCAAUCUUCGGGAAAUUGACAGUAAGUGCACAAAACUGGUGGGUUAGAAGAUCUAACCUGAAAAAUAUUAUGUUCCUUAAUAUAUGGUUGUUUUUGCAGACUACGAUGAGUAUGAGAGGUCCAUGCUGAUCUCUCAGAUGAGCUUUGAGAAGUCUUUUGGCCUGUCCUCAGUCUUCAUUGAAUCAACUCUUAUGGAGAAUGGGGGUGUCCCUGAAUCUGCAAACCCAUCUACGCUAAUUAAAGAAGCCAUUCAUGUCAUUAGCUGUGGAUAUGAAGAAAAAACUGAAUGGGGAAAAGAGGUAUGUAUUCUUGUCCUUCGGUAUCUUCCUCUAAAAGAAAAAUCAAAUGCAUGCCUUGUUGAUACCUCAGAUAAUUUUGCCAUGUUCAUCCUUGUUUCGUUUCUUUUUGUCAGAUUGGCUGGAUCUACGGUUCAGUUACAGAGGAUAUUCUGUCUGGGUUUAAGAUGCACUGUCGUGGCUGGAGAUCCAUCUACUGCAUGCCGGUGAGACCCGCAUUCAAGGGAUCAGCCCCUAUCAAUCUUUCCGAUCGUCUGCACCAGGUUCUCCGGUGGGCUCUUGGUUCCGUUGAGAUCUUCUUCAGUCGUCACUGCCCGCUUUGGUACGGUUACGGCGGUGGCCGUCUGAAAUGGCUUCAGAGGCUAUCCUACAUCAACACCAUCGUCUACCCGUUCACUUCUCUUCCUCUCAUUGCCUACUGUUGCCUGCCUGCCAUUUGCCUGCUCACCGGAAAGUUCAUCAUUCCGACAGUAAGUUAGCUUUCACCAUCACCAUUUAAUCAUUUAUACAUUGGUUAUGGAUUCAAAUGGCUGUAAUGUUCAUCCGCCGUUCUUUCCCUCUUUCAGCUGUCCAACGCCGCAACGAUAUGGUUUCUUGGCCUCUUCAUCUCCAUCAUUGUGACGAGCGUGUUAGAGCUGCGGUGGAGUGGCAUCGGCAUCGAGGACUGGUGGCGCAACGAGCAGUUCUGGGUCAUCGGAGGCGUGUCCGCGCACCUGUUCGCCGUGUUCCAGGGUAUCCUCAAGAUGAUUGCCGGGCUGGACACCAACUUCACGGUCACGGCCAAGGCGACGGACGACACCGAGUUCGGGGAGCUGUACGUGUUCAAGUGGACGACGGUGCUGAUCCCGCCCACCACCAUCCUGGUGCUCAACCUGGUGGGCGUGGUGGCCGGCUUCUCCGACGCGCUCAACAGCGGCUACGAGUCGUGGGGCCCGCUCUUCGGCAAGGUGUUCUUUGCCAUGUGGGUGAUCAUGCACCUGUACCCGUUCCUCAAGGGUCUCAUGGGCAAGCAGAACCGCACGCCCACCAUCGUCGUGCUCUGGUCCGUCCUGCUCGCCUCCGUCUUCUCCCUCCUCUGGGUCAAGAUCGACCCAUUCGUCGGAGGCACCGAGCCUGUCAGUAGCACCAACUGCAACACAGUCAUCUGCUGAGGGACCGCCGCUCAGCCGGUGGUGUGCCGGCGAUGUCUUUCUGGCGUUGCAGAUGUCGCUGCCUGAUGGAGGACGGUUGGUUUCCUCCCUCUGUCGUCUCUGGGCUUUUGCCCCAGGAUCUGAGAGAGGCGGUGUAGAUUAGUACUAUUUGGCAUCCAAUUGUUCAUUGCUUUUGUCUGUAUUACGAAAAGUUUUGGUGUUAAAGCGUUAAAAGUCGCCUGAAUUGUGAAAAGGCACUGUUUUAAGUGUGUGUAAAUCAUAGGAACGUGGGAAGAAUGAACCGAUAUACUUUCAUACCGAAAGAGAAGAUCACUGACAUGGAUGGAACCUGGAAUUUGCAGUGGUGUUCAGCAUAUGGUUGCAUGAGUGAUAACUAUGAGUUUGCGACUGAAUUUCAUGCCGUGUCCAGUGUCCUGCUGUGGAAAUGAUACGCCAUUUCCUCAGGAAAGAGUAUGAUUAGUGAUCGCUAAACAUGACGUGCACUCAGUCUUUAGAAAUCCUCUUUAAGGUACCUGACACACAAGCUGUCAUCAUCCAGCAGCCAUGGACUUUUGAACACCAGCUUUCUGAGCCCCGUGCUACAUUUUCAGCGCUACUACAAAGGAUCAGAUCUAUGCUAUUUUCUGCGUUCCUUUUCAACAAAGGCAGGCACUGAUGACGGCUAAUGCGGGCACGCUUCCUUCCCUUAGCAGCACCAACAUCAAACCACCACCACCUACUAAUUGUCACGAACUGCAUUUGAGACGAGAGCAUGGAGAGACAGAUUAAUCUGCCUGUCAAAAGGAAGCGGUGCGUGGCGUGGCUGCGAAUGAUGCCUAGCGGACUGCGGUGAUGGCUCCUAUAUUAAAGCCAAAUCUCAAGCACUCGAGGGCUUUACUGAAUUAAGCAUGUGUCUUUCACACUUGGCCAGCCACACUUACAUGCUGCGGUGGCUUUGCACGGCGGGGCGAUGGGUCUUGCAUUAAUGUAGGGUCGUGACUCAUGGGCCGGGGAAUCAACACUUCAUAUGAUGCCCAUGCCAUCAUGAAUGUCCAUUAGGGCGGUGAUCAUUCCGGCGGCAAAUUGACACCGCCAAACCCCGAGUGGGCGAUCUACAGUUACAGGUAAAUGGUAAAAUACACGCUGCAUGUAUUGUCUAUCAUCAUACCUCUGCUGCACACAAAACAAGUAUAGGAUACCGCCUAAAAAAAACAAGUAUAGGAUACGCAAGCGGCGGGUAACAGAACAUGACUUCAGCGUAUCUCAACCAAGACUCGAGAGCUCGACCAAGUAGUUUUUUUUUUCCGAAAAAUUUGCAGGAGCACUGCAUUGUCAUUUAAGAAGAAGAGCUUACAUAGAGAUAUUAUAUAAUAAGGAAACAAACUCCUCACAGUACUGAAAGAAAAGAACUGGAUACAAGGUUCUGCAAUUAUUCGUGAAACAAGUUAAUCUCCGGGCUUCCACAAGCCAUCCACCGCAGUUUCAUCUCCUCUUCGAUUUUCUGGACCACUGGACCGGCUCUGAUUGUUUUGCUUCAAACACCCUUAUAUACAUAAGCAAUGCCAGGUAGUAUUCACAGCUGCCAAAAGUAGCACUCACAGGUCACAACUCAAGAAAGCGACCAAUGCCGUAGCAACUAGGUUUUUAGAUUGCUGGGGCGACGAGAGGGAGGGAGGGACCCGCACCGCACGGACGGACCAGGGUUACAUGAUGCCACAGCUCCUUUCAACGAGGACGCUACGCCGCUGGCGAAAACGUAACCCUGAAGGCUGAAUAAAUCGAAAUCGGGCAAGAGAGACGCUAGCUCGCAUCCAACCCAACUCUGCAGAGUCCAACAAGAAGAAAGAGGCAGGAAACGCCGCACUCUGGACGAGUGAAAAACUGAAAACCACCAGACCGAUGCGUGCUCGCAGGCUGCUGCGUUCAUUGCUCGCCACUCUGAGGUCUCGGUCUCGACGCACCCACCAAACAGGCCACGCUCCGCGACGCGCAGCGAUCAAAUGCCAGGUACUGGUAGGAACAUCAGCCGAGUCCGUGAGCUGAAUACUAUGCAAUCAUGCUCGGAAUCGAGCAAGUACGGUGAUCUGCGUUCGUACUUCGUAGCAUGGCGUGCGAGGUCGACACGACAGGGUCAGUCACAUCUACUGGUGCGUACAGUGUUCAGUAGCCAGAGGGCCCAACGAAUAGGCUCGUAGUUCAGACUUCGGAGUAACUAUAACCUCAGUCAGGCAACAAAUGACAAAUCCUUGAUCAUCGUACAUUGAAUCACGAGAACAACAUGCUCCAGUCUCCAGCUCUUCAGCUUGAUUGAGCAGCGGUAUCCUUUACAGCAAGUCACAGAGGACCAUUGUGUCUGCAGAGUCAAUGUUUUUAUUGGUUUAAAACUCGCAUGGUUUUUAGAAGAGUAUCGAUGUUGCUUGUGAAUCGUGACAUACAAUCCUUAUAUUUUACAAGAAUACACGCACAAAACAAUGGAAAACCACAAACUUACUGCUCUUGCUAGUGCCCCCAACCUCCAACCAAAAGAUGUUCGUUUUUAUACAGCCAUUCUUUGCUCCUGAUUCGAGGUCUUAAACCCGACCAAGAGCCAAGAACAGCGCCAAAAAUACAGAAUAAAUUUAAGAAUCAAUUGAUCCUAAGCUACCGUAGUCCAUAGAUUUUCACGGCACGAUGCGCAACAGCCAACAGCAGAGCCGGGUAACCCACUUCAGCAAAAGACACGGCUGCGGAAUCGCGCGCGACACGGGCGGGCGCCGCGCAACGCGCGCAUCACUCAGCGGCACACCUUGCAGAGGCAGACGAGCAAGAUGACAAGGAAAGCGAGGCAGGACAGCCCGAUGGCCACCCCGAGCACCGCCGCGCUGGGCCCGCCCCUCGUGUCGGCGCCGGCGUACGGCUCCCCGUCCCCGCCGCCGUCGUCGUAGUCCGCGCUGCGCUCCGACCGCGCCGUGGCCGGGGGCGGCAGCACCGGGAACCCGUACUUGUCGCACGGCGCCACGCCCACGGCGACCUCGGCGGACAGCACGGACCGGUUGUAGCACAGCUUGCCGUUCCCGGCGGCCCUGAACACGCGCAGCCGCGACAGGAACUUGGCGCUGAAGGGCACCAUGCCGUCGAAGUCGUUGUUCUCGAGGUUGAGCUCCCGGAGCCCCCGCAUCUCGGCCAGGAACAGCGGGAUGCUCCCGUUGAGGCGGUUCGAGCCCAGGUUGAGCACCUCCAGCUCCGGCAGCGUGGAGACGGUGUCCGGGAUGCCGCCGGAGAGGGUGUUGUUGGACAGGUCCAGGGUGGUGAGCGAAAUGAGGUCGCCGAUGGAGUUGGGGAUCGGCCCGUUGAGGACGUUGGAGCUGAGGUUGAGGUGGGUGAUGCCGGCGAGUAGCGUGAGGGUGUCGGGGAUGGCGCCGGUGAUGCGGUUGCCGGAGAGGUCGAGGUGGGUGAGGUUGGGGCAGUGCCAGUGAUGCGGGAGGAAGCCGGAGAGGUUGGCGUUGGAGAUGGUGAGGCGGUUGAGAUGCUCCAUGUGGGAGACGACGACGGCGAGCUCGGUGGGUGAGCCCGUCGCGAGGGGUGUGUCCGCGACGGUGAGCUCGGUGAGGUUGGCGAGGUGGGAGAGCCACACGGCGGAGAGGCGCCGGAGCGAGGCGGUGCAGGAGAAGGCCCGGAGCCCGGACGCCAGCUGCUCCGGCGGGAGCGCCCGGGGCGGCGCGGCCGGGCAGUCGGCGAACGCCAGCGCGCGGAGGGACGGCGCGAGCGCCUCGAGCGCCGCGGCCGAGACGGAGGUGGUGCCGGAGCAGUUGGUGAGGGCGAGCGACGUGACGUGCCGGAACGGCGCCCCCGCGUCGCAGGACGCGUUCACCGCGCCCGCCGCGGCGCCAGCGGCGCCGCAGGGGUCCGCGCGCUGGUGCGCGCGGAGGCCGAGCGCCCGCAGCGCAAGCAGCUGCUGCGGGUCCAGCGGCGCCGCGCCCGCGGAUGCGGCCAGAACGGCCGCGACGAUGGCGAGGCGGAGCAGGAGGAGUAGGGUGGCGGCGGCGUCCAUGCCCGGCCCGUGGACGCAGAGCGAGAGCACGCAGGCGCAGUCGGGAGCGCGCGGGGGAGCCCGAGAAAGGCUUUUCAAAGCCGCGGGGAGGGAGGGGAGGGGCGCGGUGCGGUGCGCGCGGUUUACGACGCCGAGGCUCUCCGCGAGCGCGGGGGCCCGGGCUGAGUUGUGCCGUCGGAUGCGCGCGGAUUGACGGAUGGGGCCGCAGGCGGUUGGGGGGAGGCACGGGACGGUCGCUUUCGGGGGCAGUGUGGUGUGCUUGCGCCGGGGCGCGCAGAGGCGGCCUGCGACCGCGGCAGAGGCAGGCAGCAGCGUGCCUGGGUAUCCGUGCGGCCUAUCUCACGCUGCGCCUGCGACCAAUUGACCGCUGUGGAAAGACGGGACCGGUAAAGCCGGUUGUGAAGGUGCAGCAGCGCUUGUCAAAGGAGGCGUUCUAUUGGGCACCGGCGAUCUCUGCCACCCCUCAUGUGAUCGCGUCGGGGGAGGUGAAUAAUGGCCGCUCAAACUUCUUGGAUGGUGCCGUGCGGCAGGAACGUGCUCAGUGCUCCUCUGCGCCGCUGCGAUCGCUUCACCACGGCGCCGCGCAGAGCCGCAGUGCAGUAGAGCAUGGUGGUGUGCGCUGCGAGCCGUAGCGCGCCCGUGACACUGCCGGUGCCGGUGCCGGUGCCGGGCAUGUCGCGCUUGGAGUGGGUUUCGGCCGUUAGGCCGUUGGGGCAGUGCGACCUGCCGCUGACGGGCUGAGCAGUUCUGUGGUCAGUGGUCCCCCAGUCCAACCCCAUUUCUUCCAAGCGUCCCAAACGCAUAUGCUGAUGGGGCCAGGAGAUCAAACCUUGAGCUAAUUUCCAUUUUGCUUAGCACCAAAUAUUGAUUAGGCCAUUCUCACUCAGUUGCCACUUAUCAGUCAUCAUUUGGGAGAAAUGAAACCACGAACGAUAUAGCCUCUGCAAUACAAGAUUUCAUUUAACUGCUCCUAAGCUACCAUAGUAUUUAAUUUAUGAGUUAUGUGGAGACUUUUAAUUGGGAAAGAGGUAUAUGAAAUGAAACUCUAACUUUUAACGAAUAUGUUGAAGAAUUUCAUCGCGUAGUAACAUUAUGAACUGAGAUUCAUCCUGAUGAAGCUCGUUUCUUCUCUUUUUUCAUAACUUACAUACCAUACCACCAUAUUUACCUACAUGGCACUAUUUUUUUUUGUGGAAAAUGGCCUUAGAGGAAAAUCAUACCAACACACAUUUAAACUGGUGAUCGUUGUAAUAAGGCUUCAGCCCUAUGACAAGGUUGACUAUAUGCCAAAUUUUCUAGCGUCUACGAUAGUCGAUAAACGACGGGCCUCGAUUCCUUUGAAUAGGAUAAAAACAAGGUUUAUGUGUGCUCUGACUUGCGAUGGUAAGUUUUAUGCUACUAUAUUGCCUUGGUAGCCGACGACAAUUGGAGACUCUGAAUUUCUUCCUUUUUUUUUUCCUUUUAGUUGUAUUUUUUCUAGUGUACACCGGUGGGACGGUGUCUUGGCUACAUGUUUAUUGGGACUUGGGAGAUAUGCCCAACCUUGCAAUAAAUUUGGUGUGAUGCACCCUAUGAAACAGUAAAUUUCUCCAUUAUCUAAAAAACACAUUUUCCAUAUGAGAGUUUGUCUCGGGCUGGGCCUACUUGAGUUCGUCUCAUCCGCAUAGCCCGUGGAUGCUCCUUUGGGCCAAAAGUUGGGCAUAGAUGAGGCCGAACAGGGUCGCUCCCGUGUGUGCUUACUGUUUAGAGCCUGUGAUCUCCCUACAUUAUUCUGCCAAGUUUGGUCCGACGCGCUAUCAGCAGAGAUGGGCAGAUGGCGACGCCCUGAGCCCCUGACGUUGGUUGAUUUAUCAGUCAUUGGAACAUGUCUCAAAAACAGAGAUUGAUUUACUCAUCGAUAUGUAAUUAGACUGACGCGAUUCGAGCUUGGCAUCAUUCUCAUCGGAUCAAUGCAUCUCUCCCAACAGCUCGGCUGACAAUUCUUCCAUCGUUCGGUAUACGCCUAUUCUAUUCUCGUAGCUUUUAUGUCCAUGCUAGCAGCAUAUGUACAGACACGUAUCAGGAACUGAUCGAAUGAUUAUCGAUCGUUAGGAAACUCAUCUGAGAUCACGCGAAACAUGGACAUACACACACAAUCGCUCGCUACACGUAACACACACGCAGAGACGCCCCCAGGCCCCAGUAAUCUUCAGACGAACUCGUCCUCCAUCUCCUGCAUGGACCUGCCGGCGGAGGCGAUCUGGCGGUUGGACGUCAUCUUCUCGGCGACCAUGAGGCCCUUGUAGCUCCGUAUCUCCGCCCACUUCUCCUUCUCCAGCCUCUCCAACUCCUCUUUCCGCUUCUGCGAGUUCAUAUAUUAGACCGCGCCAGAUGUCAGCAACAUUAUAAAGUUUGAAACAUUUGCAUUGGAAAUGUGUGGCUCCAGGAGGAAACACUGUACCUUCUCUUUCAAUUGCAUCUUCCUCUCGGCCUUCUCCGCCGCAUUUGAUGCCUCUUUCUCAGCUGCACACAAAAAGGGUUUCAGACAAAGGCGCCUAUGCCAUGCAUGGUGUACAUGAGCAUGUCAGCACAUAUGACUGUACGCACCUUUCAAGUCUGGUCGGCGUUCUACCCGGGUCUUAUUCAACCUGUUGAUGAUCUCGUUGACACGCUUCUCGACUGUCAGCACACGGACCUGUCAAUUAGUAGAUAGCUUAUUUUCAAUCAUACUUCACACUAAUUGACAAAUAGGUCAGCCAACAGCUGACACAAGAAAACUAAUCAGUUGAUGUUCCGUUACAUGAUUAUAAUUGGGGACGCAGAAAAGGAAUCUGUGCUAGCUAACGAGGAAAACACAGGACACGGCUUCUCACUUCCAGGACUGCUCAUUAUUGUCAGGUGUCAGGAUAUUCGCAAUGAUCCCAAACUAUCAACUAGCUACAGGCGCAAGAUAAUCUAAGGGCUCCAAAAGGAUUCAUAUCUGUCCAACCAAUAUGCUAGGUAACGCUAAAGAAAAAAAAAAGGCCAAAUUGCUUUUUUUUUUUCAGUGUGAUCUAUAAUGGAAAAGGUUGGAUGCAAUAAUGCAAGGCAUGCAGCAAUUUGGACAUGAUUAAAAUGCCACAACAAUCAGACCAGUGGUCUGUCCAGAUACCCUUUUCGCAGCACUGAGGUGUUUCCUCACCUUUCUCCUUUACAAUAUGUAACGUGAUUUUUUUUAAUACAGAGAUGAGCCCCCAACUUUGGUUAGCAAGCCCUAGGAUUUUACAAGUCCAACGGAUGAAAAAAUGUGGCAAAGGUGUUCACUCACGUUACCGAGGCAAACUGCUGCUGAUUAACGCAAGUCCUAAAGCCAUUUACAUAAUUUACCAGACAACGUAACGAUCAACAUGCUCAAAACACAGAAUUAUCAUGGACAUUUUAACAAGUGAUUUAGGCAUUUAGCUUAGGAAGGGAGGAAAACUAAGCGCAAAAGUGGUGGGAACAGUACUGAGUGAUUACCAUCCGCGGGUUGUGGAAGCCAACUUGGCCGACAUCCAUGGAUGGGGACUUCUUGAGAUUAGACCAGGGCGUGUAGACCACCUCAACGUUGUUCAUCUUGUUCCCUGCACAAGAAGCACAUGGCAGAGCCACGACCAUCACCCAAUUGUUUGUCACGUUUCCAUGAUCACACAAAUCACAUCGGCCAAAAAUAUCAAUACGCGCGGAGAUAAUUGAUCGAGUGGUCCCCUGCAGCGCCAAUAAUACAGGAGAAAGAAGAGGCCCUUGCAUUGCAAGCUGCUGCUCCAGGAAAAGGGAAAGAGAUCGAUCGAUCUAUUGGUCGGGGGAAGAAGAAAAAAAAAAUAAAGAUUCCUGCCGCAACAUGCGAUGCGGAGCUGAAGCUUUGUAGGGCAGGCGAAUGCCCGACAGGUCACGCCAUCUUCUAUCUUGAUUCUCUCCCGGGCAGAGAAUAAUUGGAGAUGCAGCUAGUUAACUAAUACACUUGCGUGCUAACUGCUAGCGAGUGAUUUUCUCAUUUGUUUGGUCCAAAUUUCUUGUCUUUUGAUGUAAAAACCAUUAAUACACGAUUUAAACAAACACAAAACUUUGAAACCAUGAAUUAGGCGCGUGCCAUCGUUGCAAAAGAUCACACGCAUAAAAUUCGGUGAGAUCGUCUAAGUUCCAAUACCUAAGUGAGUGCUGCAUGCUCUCUACAGUAGUAUAGCCACGAAAAAGAAACAGGGAUAUGUACUUAGACAAACGCUGCGGCAAAAUAUAGGAGUAGGCACGUACCCUGAAUGGAAUGAGCCUUUACGAGCUGCGCGCAGUCCUCCAACAGGCCCUCGCUGAUGGUAUCUAUCGUCUCGCCUUUCUUGAGCCUCAAAUAGACGUGCGCCGAGGAUACCUUGUCCACAUGGAACCUGCAGGAGGCCACACGGCAUCAACACAUACAUUACACGCCUCGUUAACCCCAUCAUAUGCUAUCCUGUUUGGUUAUGCGAGGAAGAUGAAUAACUACUAAUUCUUUUCAUCGAUCAGCGUUAAGUUGCCAAGUAGCAGUAGAUAAUGAGGUGAGGUCCCCUACAGGCAAGCUCGCUAGAACCAUGCUAAGAUUCACCUAGCCAGCGGUAAACGAACAAAAAGACUCGUGCAAGCGACAGAGCGCGGCGAAGGCGAGAUGACGAUGGAUUGGGGAUGUCCAACUGGCCGGUGGCGCGGCUGCGUUCCGCGGUUUUUGGUCGUUUCUUGGCAGCUGGUAGUUGGGUGGACUUGAGGGCGGGCGGCGUUGGGGUGGGGUGUCCACGCCAGCCUCGUCAAGGCCGAGUCACGCGUCCAUCCGCCACCACUCGCUCGACGGACGAUGUCGCAGUUAACGCGGCUGCUCGCUGGGGCCUGAUCCUGACCGCCCGGGGGUUGGCUUUACUUGGCCGCGACACGCCACGUGCUCGCCGCCGCCGCCGCCGGCGCUGGCCCCCGUACGCGCGCGUCUGCAUCCGCCUUUCCCCCGACCCCUAUGCAUGCGCGCGCAACAGGGCAAUGCUGCUACGUACGGGAAACCGAAUUUCUACGACACCGGACGGGGAACCGCCAGCACGGAUCGCCAUGGCGGAGCGGGGCGGAGAUGUCAGAGGAGAGGCCGGGAUGAUGGAAGGGCAGCGGGUGGCGACGUACCAGACGUCCUCGGGGAGGCCGUACUUGAUGAGCUCCUCGUUCUCGUUCUUGUCGGCGCCCAUGUAGAUGGUGUAGUCGCCAGCGUCCGGCCGCGCCUUGAAGUAGAGCACCAUCGCUCCGAUCCUAAACUCUCCUCCUCCUUCAGGCCUCUUCUUCAGACCUCUUCUCUCUCUUCUACCUACCUCCCGUCUCUGAGCUCAACGGUUACUACUAUGUAAAUCUUCAGGUGUCGCGCUGUCGGCGGCAAAGCAGCUCAAGCAGGAGGAAACUACAGGAAGGAGAUGCAAGUAUGCGACAGACAAGCAAGGGGGGCGGAAGGCCAGUGCGGCAACGAAACAGGCGAUGGGGAGGCGGGGGCGGGUAUAUAACGGCGUCGGGCCAGCCGGGCCGGGUCUCGUGGUGAGAAACGCCGAGCCCCUCCCUCUCACGCACGCAGACGCAGGAGGAGAGUCUUCUUCGCCCCCAAGGGGGUUGGGCCGCCACGUGGAACCACGAUGGAUCCGAUUAAAAAAUUCCACGGCGGCCCCACCGGAGGGGCCUUAUCUCUUCGCCGUUCCGCUUUUGCUCGUCGCUCCGCCUCCACUCUCGGCUCGCUUUCUUUAAUUUUUUUUUCUUGCAGCACCAGCUUGUGGAAGGCAGAGAGCCCCUGGUAAUCUCGCCUGACCUGGGCCUGACAUGGCAAAGGGGUUGGGUUGGGGGGAUAUACUACCCGAGUUGACCUGCACCGUUUCCGUGCAACGGCCUCGCUGGUUGCGUCGUCAAAGCACCGGAUCUUUUGCGACAACGACGCUGGCUUUCGUGCAUCGGUUAUUUCCGGCCAAACCAGGCACAGGCACCCUUUUUGUUCGCCGUCCUCGGCAACGCGCCGUGCUUGUCCAUGGUCCACCCACCAGUGUCGUCGGCCCGUCCGUACCUUCACUGUGAUUCCAUGAUCUCCAUGGCGCCGCGCACUCGCUCUGCUUUUCCAGUUUGCCAUGGUACAAAGUGAGAAGCGAGCACAGUGUCGAAGUGACAGUGGGUGCCAAGUGAGAAGUGACCGCUGCUCUCGUCCGUCCGUCCGUUCCUUCGUGCCGUGCCCUGGUGGCUGGUGCCCACUGCCCUGACCCCUGGUGAUCUCCGUGCGCCGCGCGCGGUGCUUGCCAAUUGCCAUGCUGCGAGCCUGCAAAGUGAAAGCAAAGCGCAAGAGUGAAGUGAAGUGACAGGAUUUAUUCGCCCAAAUGGAGGCGAGGGGAUGGCCACGAUCCCACGGGGAUGGGUGUGCGGCCGAAAGACGCGGGUGAAAAGCGGGUAGCCGGGAGGGGUGGGCACAAAACCCGAUACCUGAACCCGAAACACCCGAGUCCGAACCUGAAGUACCCGAAAUCUAGGAAACCCGAAUUAACCUCGGGUGCUAAUUCUGAAACCCGAACAGGGUAAUUUGGGUUUUGGCCCACGGUACCCGAAUGCCCCGAGCGACCUGAUUUUCAGCCCAACAUUGAGUUUAGCUCACAGGUCGUCCCACACAACUCAUAUAACCAACUAACCUAGCCUCCUACCAGUAGCAUCCCUUCACGCACCCCCAGCCCCAUCUCGCGAGACGAGAGCACCAGCUGCGAGUCACCAUCUCCCCCACGUUGCAUCCCGGCCUGGCUCCUCUCCGCCUCCCUCUCCAGCUCCCUCUUUACCUCCCUCCCCGGCCUUGCAAGAAUGAAGAAUGGAUUGUGUGCGUUAGUGGCUUUGAUCCAGUCCCCUCGUAUCAGCUUCUUUAAUCCAAGCCACUCCAAAUCAAUUACUCCGCAGGUGCAAUAGAGGGUGGGAACGAGUCACGCCGAGGAGCUUAGGAUGAGAAGUACCGCAUGGUGGCCGGUGGCGGCAGGCUGGCAACAAGUCAGCAAAUUGACGCUUUAUUCUUCUCCCUGUGAUGUGCCCUGUGGUGUCUGUCGGGUAUAUCAGGGAACCCCGAACCCGAACCCGAAUUAUCGGGUACCCGAAGUGUCGGCGGGUUCUCACUCGUUCGGGCAAAGUUCAGGUGUCAGUUCCAAACCCGAUUUACCCGACCCGAAUCUUUCGGGUAACCCGAAUGCCCACCGUGGGAUGGGGUCGGGGAGGAGAUAUCAAUCUGACUCACGAGCGCAGCCGCGCGGGGGGCGCAGCGCUUCGCGCCACGAAACGUGACCCGACGCGGGGAGCGGCGCCGGUCGGCCGCCCAGUCCGACGCGGCAGCGCCUACGAGCGGCUGAUACCCCGCCUAGGUGCACGCGAUUCGCUCUAUCCGUUUCUCGUCAGCCUUUCGGCAUCUUUGAUCGCAGUAUUUUUGGAUUGGCGAUCCAAAGGCACACGAUGAAAUUGGAGCCUCCAUGGGAAAAAGGGUCGCGCAAGGACAGCCUAUCAGGUUAUCUGGUACGAGUAGUGGCCAAAUUGGUCCUUCAAUAAGAGUGUGGCCGAAUCGGGGAGAUCGAAAACGAAAAGCUGGCGAUGGCACGCAUCACCCAGCAGAUGAGAAGAUUGUCGGUAAAGAAAUCCACGUGAAACGCGAAAAUAAGAAAUGGUGGGAAAAAUGGAUAAAGAGGUUUAGAUAAAGCUGAUCCAUUUUAUUCGAAACGUGACGUGAAGCGAGGCAUCUGUAAUUCGAUUUUCUUUUUCUUUUUUUAAGUACCAGAGUAUUGUGUUAGUUUGAUCUCCACCAGUUAGCCCAACGGCCAAUUGGGCUCUUGAUCCGCGUCCUGAUCGGGGACGCUCCACCUACCACUGAUCGAUGGGUCCCUGACACACAGCGCUAUAAAAGAGAAAGGUGGGAGCCAGCGCGUAAGAUACGAGUUCUACCGCCACCACUAACCCACCGAAGAUACCCUAAGGCCCCUCCGAUCGUGGGCGCGCAGCAGUGACGGGAAGCGCCGUUAGCCGCGCCACCGUCAUCUGGACUACACCGACCCGUACUACACCGCCGCUCUUACGGUAACUCUUGAGUUAAGUGAUUUACCCGCUAGUUGCACAUCUAGAGUUUCUGUCAAGAUUCUAUCAUAUUGUUGGUGCCAAAAUGUGAAUAGAGGAGGGAUGUUGAUAUACCUAUAAUAAUAAUUUGUAAGUAAAAUGAUUUUUUAACGAAUCAGGUAGGAAAUUUGCAGAAUACUCCAUAUUAGAAACAACAAGUUUAGACUGGAUCGAGCAACAUCAAUCCCAAAGGGUGGAGCAAUGGCACAACGACGACUAAAACCAAAAGGAUGUAAGCAAAACGCAUCUCAUGAUAACGAAGCAUCAUUGUGGUAAUACAAUCGGCAACUGGAUCAACGCUUAUUACAAUGGUAUAUGGUGACAUAGGCACGGAGCGAAUCCUUGUUUAUUAAAUAUUCAUUGGCAUCGAAUGCAAGAGCGCACUAAAAUUGGCUCACUAGCUAACAAAGGGUAGGACAUGUGUCUAGUUUCAUUUCGUCUAAGAUUAGAGUACCUCUAGUACUGUGGAGAAAACUCACCCGUAGUGAUUGCAUGCAUCGGAGACAAACAACAUCAGAUCCUUAGAUGUAGGCUAAUUUAUGUCAGAUGGGCAGUCAGCUCCCAAUCGUCAUCCAUGAUGCAUCCAAUAGUUAAUCGGCAAUCUGUUGGCUUGGUUAUAUUCACAUGGUUGUUAUUUGGGGUGAAAAUGGUAGGGAUAUUACAACCGUUCGUAUCAUUGAAAUUGAAGGGUUAAGUUAACUUAAUACUCCGUAUCUAAACAGUGCUCCUACUUCGAGCCAAGUAAAAAAGCGCACUUUAGCAGAGGAUCCUCGUUUUAGGGAGACCUCCGAUUCCCUUUCCACCCUCCAUUCGGGGGGUCUCUAGGAAUUUCUCAAUCCAUAGGGCCUAUUGCUGUAGUUGAAGAUAUUUUUGUAGCCUUUAAAAAAAUAGAGAAAACUCCAUUUGAUCUUUAGGGGCUUUGGUUUGAGGGCUACCGCUAGAGUUGCUCUAAAUCCGGAUAUCCAACACCCGUACCUGGGUACGCAAAGUUGAACAUUUGGUACGCGAAUAGGAUAUAUAUCAAUAUCCAACCCAUUUUACAAUACUCAUAUCCGAAUUUGUAUCUGAAAAAUGAUAAUUUGUGUCCAUAUCCAUAUAUACCCGAUCUGUUUUCAUCCUAGUUUUCGUUUGUUGAUGUGGCAAAGGACGACGGUGGUGACGCGUGGACUCGAAGGCGGCCCUGGAGAUGGGUGUACAAAUACUCGUCACUAACGAGAGUGUGUGUAUUUGAGAAUAGCAUCCUGAAUGGAUCAGCCUACCGGUACGGGUGGUUACAUAGCAUUGGCCUAAGGAGGAAGGUAAAACAAGCACACCGAAUGCCGGUCGGGUGUUAGGAUACACCCUCUAAACUUGUACCUGUCACAUCGGAUAUUUGGAUAUUAAUUAGAAGUAUUAAAUAUAGUCUAAUUACAAAACUAAUUGCAUAGAUGGAGUCUAAUUCGCGAGACGAAUCUAUUAAGCCUAAUUGGUCCAUAAUUUGACAAUAUGGUGCUACAGUAACCAUUUGCUAAUGAUGGAUUAAUUAGGCUUAAUAGAUUCAUCUCGCGAAUUAGUAUAUGGGUUCUGCAGUUAGUUUUAUAAUUAGCUUAUAUUUAGUUCUCCUAAUUAGCGUCCGAACAUUCGAUGUGACCCUCCUAAAGUUUAGCACCUUGUAUCCAAACACCCUCCUAUUCCGUUCGACAUUUGUCUAGUCCUCCUCUUCGUCUCGUUCUCGUAGGCCUAGGGUUUGGCAUGCCUGUACAUAUAUUUUCGGAUCUUUAACUUCACAUACUUCAAACGAGGUAUUCGGUAGCCCAUGCAUGAAGCCUUUGAAGUAUGUGAAGUUAGGGAUAAUAGCAAGAACACCAAUUCAUAAUAGCGAGAAGCAAUGAUGGCACACCUAACUUGAAACAAAAAUUGGCACGAUCACUCGUGACAAAGAGUAUCUCCAACCGAUUUCUCAAAUUUGAACCCCUACUUCUCUAUGUGAGGAUCUCUCAUCCAUAUUCCAGCUCCCUACUACUUUACGCACUCCAACCAAUCUCUCGUAUGCCUCCCUACUUUCCAUCCACCUAUUAUAUCUUGUAACUAACAACUUUACUAUUUCAUACGUAUAAUGCUAUUGUUUGCAACAACAAUUCAUCAAAGGACAAUAUUUACAAUAAAUAUUUUAUAACUUCUUUUAUGCUAUUUUUUAAUCUUUAUAAUUCAAAUGCUAAUAAUCCACACAUAAUAAAGACAAACAAAAAUGAACAUGAUAGUCUACAGGUGGGUGUUCGUACAAAGUCCACACGAAUAAAAUACAUGAUUUAAAGAAACUACAUGGCACAUUAACGAGAAAAUAAUACAUGAUCAAUACAUGUCCGCAUGUCGGUACCACAGGUGCUCGAUUAGAUCUUCUUGAAGUGGAGAAUGGCCUUGCAAGUCUCUUAUAUUAUGAUGAACUUGGAUGAAAUCAUGUAGUUCUUGAGUACGGUUACGCACUUCAUGUGGCGUAGGUAUCACAACUUGGCCAACACCGUCGUAGUCGAAAUCUUCAUCGUCAUUUCGCUCAUCUUCAAUAAUCAUGUUAUGCAUGAUGAUACAAACCGUCAUGAUUUUUCAAAGUAUCUCUUUAUCCCAGAAACGGGCUGGGCCAUGAAUAAUAGCAAAUCGAGCUUGUAUAACUCCGAAUGCAAGGAAAAUCAAUUUCCCCCUCUCACAGGCAAAAUCAAGGACGCAGCACAAAUCUCCUCACAGCAGCAAAAUCAAUCCUUUCUUCUACUCACAGCAGCACGGAGCAGCAGUAAAAAUCAAUUCCAUCUCAGCUCCCGUCGAUCUCUCUGGGCAAGCGGUGCAGGCAGCCUAGGCGGUAGUUCGGCGGGGCUGCGUGCCGUGCAUGGCCGCGCCUCCGCAUCCGCCGGCUUGCGGAGUUACCAGCUGUGCAGGGCGGCGCCGCCACCGCAUCAGCCGGUGCGCGGAUUUGCAAGCUGUGCGGGACCUAGCCGCCGCAUCCGCUGGUGCGUGGGGGUGCGAGCUGUGUGGGGGCCAAGCACUCGUGCGGGAGGAUCCGUGAGGGAUCGUCGGGCUCGUCGCCGGAGGUGGCAACUAGAUCGACGAAUGGGCCGGCGGCGCGAUUGGGGCCUAGUACUGCAAAAUGGUCGGCAUCGUCGCUGCGCGGAGAAAGGCGAUGGGUGCGUACCUGUCAUGCGUACAGGCGCGAAGACUCCGCGGCGGCGCGGGAGGAGCGGCAGUUGCUCGCCUCGGCCGGAUGAGGGUUCAGCCGGGAGCUCCUCCGGAUGAGAGUCCGAGGCCGGCGGAUGAGAGUCCGGAUGAGGACGGGAUCGAGAUGAGAGUUCGGUUGCAGGACGUUUUUUGGCAAAACUCUCAAAAACGAUAUGAGAGCCCAAGCAAGGCAUCGGUUGGAGAUGCUCUCUAAUCUAACUCCACACGCUUAGCCUAAAUGGGAGAGUGGAUGUUGAUGGUAGCGAGAGCUUGGCAGGCAGUGGAAAUGAACAGCACGAGGCCGAAUGGCAUGAAUUGGCUCGAUGGUGUCACAGGUUUGUCGAUGGUGCAGUGUGCUUGAUGCAGUAACGCCACCCUUCGACGGCGACUGUAGUAGAGGUUCAUUGCUGCAUUAACAUAACAUGCCGAUUGACACAUAAAAGUCUUUACCUGGAUAAGAAAAUUUCUAUAAUACAAUUUAAAUCGAAUAGAUAUAUAAUUCCUAUAAGAUAAUAUAAAAAUCAUAUAAAUCUUCUAACUUUUAAAGAUUUUUCUAGAAUUUUUUUUAUACACAAACGAUAUUUUUAUUUCUACAUAAAAAUGAUAGUGCGUAUGUUUUAAAUAUGGUUACAUGAGAACACCAUUAAUUUUUUAUAUUUUUAUUACGACAACUACAGCCUGAUUGAUUAUGAAAAAUCUACAUAAGCCAACUAACCAGCGAGUUACUCAUUUAUGAUGUUUGGGAGUUAGUAUUACAUCCAUUGAGAUGUGUCGUGAUACACAUAAAGAGAGCGUGGAGUCAGAAAGAACAAGCAUCCCCAUAAACUCUCGCAACUUGCAAAGUAUUUGGAGACUGCGGACUUCGAUGUCUUUAGGACUGUUUUAGAAACAAAACAUGAAUAUCAUCACAUCAUUCUUAAAAUUUUGGAUUUGUUACUGUUGGUGCAUCUUUCAAAUCCAUUUACAUUAUAUGGCUAAUAACACCCCAUUUGUAAAAGUUGAUUUACUCUUGGACGACACAACAUUCUAUUUCAUUGGUUUUCGUCACUGAAACACUAAAUCGAUAGAAGUUGUCAAAAAAGAACAAGGGUGUCGUUGGUUCAAACAAGAACAAGAAUGUCAUUGGUUUGUCUACAAUGAUAUGUACGCUUUAGCUACUAUGUUUCUCAAUCUAAUUAUUAUCGUGAUUGACUUGUCACACAUGGGCAAGUAAAUAGUCGUCAAUUCAUGCCUAGUUUUUUUUUACAAUGCAUAUUAAAAAGAUGUGGAAAUUAUCAGAAAAAAUGUACACAAACUUAUAUAAGUGAAGUAGGUGAUGAAAUUGUUGGGUAGGCUAGAAAAAACAUCUUAAGAAGGCAGUGUUGAGAGUCAUCGUCACUUUCUCUGUAGAUAUCAUUUGAGAUCUUGUACAAUUAGAUCCUUAAGAUGCUCGAGCGGGGAGACAAAAUUGCAAUUAUUCUAUUUGGGAGGCUGUAGAAGUUGAUAAGUAAUUAGGGCUAAUUGUCCGAGCAUUGGUAGAAGAUGGAAAAGGCUACUAACAUGAAAUCGAUCUAAUAGAACAAAAGGGAGAGCUAGUGGCAGAGUUCGGAGGCUAAGAGUUGUCAACCAUGACCGAGUUCGGAGCCUAAGAGUUGUCAACCAUGACCCUGGCUAACUAAUCUGAUAGAAUAAGUGGGAGAGCUCAUGAUGUGCACGCAUGAAGCUAGCUAUCCUUUUCAGUUUUCAUCACCAUGCAUAAAUUGAAGCAUAUUAAAGGGAACAACUUAUAUGUCCAAGAGUCAGCCUUUGACCAAGAGGAACAUGACCACGUGAUACAAUACAUAGCUGAUAUUAACAUUUUUCAUCUCCACUGUCUUUGAUUAAACUUAGCUAAUAAGCUGCAUUCCAAGACAAUUUGCAUUGGGUCCAAAUCUGCCCCUUGGUUGAUGAAUUGAGACAUGUGCUUUUAUUUACAAAUGUAAAAAGGAAUCAUACUAGCUAGAUACGUUUUCGUAUAAAGAUUCGGACAUAGAGGAGCAGAAAUUGUUGUUGCUAGGCUGCGUGUAGACGUAGGAGAGUGCAGCGCCAGCCAUGCCGCGCUCAGCCUCGUUGGUAGAAGUAGUUCAGGUGCGCGCGGUUUAGGUUUCCGGCAAACCAGCUAUCCCCGCAGCAGCAGUCUAUCAUGCAGUCGAUGAGCAUGCUGAUGUAGCUGCCGAUGCCGAUGACACUUAACAUAGACCGCUAGCCACAGGUUAAAGGCACGAAGCCCCUCAAGCAUCGGCUCGAAGGAGAGCUCCUGCAAGCUAUCAUGCCACACUACGGCACCACCCACACCUAGCUUCACAAUUUUAGUAUUGUGCACGAGCGUUGGCGAUAUUUCACCACUUCUUGUGGUGGAAUAUAGUUACCUAGGUUUGAGUCAUCGAAUCGACAUAGGUGAUCACAUUCUUUUAGAUUUAAAUUAUUUUAUGAAUUAGUUGGCUCUAUUCUUUUAGUGGUAUGCAACAUGCUCAUCGACAACGAGGUGCUUGGGCUACAAUGACUUAGUCAAUCUCAAGAUUUGUUGACUUAAUCUUCGAGAGGCACUCAAAAGAAUAGGGUUGCCUGCAUCUAUUCAUAGGGAUGAGUAUGCGUGCGUGUAUGUGAGUGACUGUGUUUUAAUUGUGUUUAGAAAAGGAUCAUUAGUACGUGGGUAGUUACAUCAUAAGGUUGAGUAGGAAUUCGAGUAUUUAUUUUACUUUUAUUUUCUCUUUUUUCAUAUAUUUAAUCGACCCAUUUCAUUUUUCUUUUUCAUACAUUUAACCGACACAUUAGGUUCGUUAUGCUAUAAUCAAUUUAUAUGUUUGAGAAGUUUGUCCAGAAAGAGUUAUGCAUAAAGUUAUACUGAAGUUGUGUGUAAAUUUUUGAAGAUGUUGAACAGAGACAUCUUAUGGGAUUAAAUUAUUUUGUAAAAGUUGUGCUAGGAAAAUUAUGUUGAAGUUGUCAUGAUAAUUUUAUCUGAAAAAGUUAUAAGCAAAAAUUGUAUUUUAGAAAAAGUUACGUUUAAGUAUCUUGACAAGUUUGUGGAAAUUGAAAGUUGCGGAAAUAUUUUUUAUUAAAAAGGAAGUCCGUCCAAAUGAGUGUGUGGAUUAGCUGCGCCAGUGCAGCUCAUAUGCUUCCGCACCAUGGCCAGCUGCUGCGUUUCCUGCGUUAGGGCAAGUACAUUGGUAUUGUCUAAUAGACGGUCUCGUACAUUGACAUGUAAUCUUAAUGGGUUGUCUUUUUAAGUUGUUUUAUAGUAAUUUAAUUUAUGCAUAGAAAAUAAAAAAAUAGUGUGAGUUGCAUGCAACUACAACUCGUACAAUAGCGGAGCAGUCGUCUCAUAGUCUUAAAAUCUAGCCUAUGAGGUGGUUAUUUCGCGAAACAACGACGUCUUUCUCUUUCUCCUCCACCUCUCUCCUCAACAUCAGUAAAAAUCCUACGUGGCAUUGCAUGAGAUGAACUAUGAGACUGUUUAGGUGUAGCAAUGUAUUUACUCUUAGUGCGAUCAGGUAGAGUUGCCAACGAUGUAAGGAGAGUAAGAUUGGUUGCAUUAGUUCCAUAGCCAGGCUAGGACUAAUGCAGGCUAAGCUUCACCGGAUUAACUCACUGUAAGUUACUUGUGAUUGAUUCAGUGGCUUAAGAUAGCCUGCGUCGGCGAAGCUCGUGUUUGGUUGGAUGCGUAGUAUGAUAGGUGACCUUGUAUUAGCUGAAGGUGAUUUACCACUCAUUCAUCUAUGCCUUCAUUACCAUCGACUGCUGCAGCAUUUACGGCCAACUGAUUUUCUGGUCCCAGACCUCGCAGGUGGGCAGUGGCUGACGACAGCACUCUGGACUCUGGAGCACGCAGUGGAUGUUUUUUUUUUUUGAAAUAAACACGCAGAGGAUGUUGCAGCCGCCAUUGCUGUUGUUGUGAACCUGCUGAGAGAGUCGUGCAGAGCUUUUUCUGAACUUUGAAAACAUCAGAUUGUCCAAUAGCAUUUCCAGAGCUUGAUCUAAUUUUGAACUCCUCAGCACUCUUACGCCUAAAAAACGAUCAGCUAAAUGCCUGAAUCCUGAGCAAAGCAACAGGAUAAACGAAGAGUACAUUCAAUGGGAGCAGCGCCAAAAAAAAUCAGAGAACGAUGUUCAGUGAGUCAGACUGAGGGUCAUGUGAUCCACGAUUGGUAACUGAUCGAUUUGGAUUAUGAAAAACUCGAUUUUGAUAGCUCAUGGUUUGAAUUUGUGUACUGGACACUUGAUUUGGUUGAGAAAGUAGAAAUCUAGGGUGCAUUAUCGCACCUGCUGCCUGGUUGUCGCUUGUGCCGCACCUGCUUCCGCGGCCAUGGCGCUUGCUCCACGUCGACGAGGACCUGGACAAGGAUUUGUCCUCUACGCUGUAAUCAAUGGGAUGCGGCACUCCUAGCACCCAGCGAUGGGUCCACCGUGCCGGCGCGCCGCCCUUGUCGCUGUUCAUGCCUUCACGGCCUCCGGCACGGCAACUCAGCAUCGCUGCCUGAGUCGAGAGGGAGGUGAGCCAGGCUGCCAGCGCUACGCCGCAGCGGAGCCUCGGCCCUGAGACGCACCAGCGGCGCCUACAAGGAACUUGUCUCAAGGAGGGAGAUGACCUGAGCAUCAUGCGCUGGCAAAGGACGCGGUCGAUGUAGACAGAGGAGGCAUUACCUGGGCGACAGACGCCCUUGUGCGGAUGAGUUGCGUUUUCGCGGCUGAGCAGGCAUCCGAUCGCAGCUAGACUGCACUCCAUAAACCUGGAUAAAGGUUGGCUUACCAAUCACAGAUUCACAGCCUAAGAGUAGUGGCCAAACUGGUCUUUAAUAAAUAAGAAUUGCCGAAUCCGCGAGGAAAUAAGAGACUAACCCUUCAAUAAACUAUACAUACAUUACCAGAAAACUGGUAUUCAACGAUACAGUAUUAUUCAUAGUGUAUUCACAAGAUAAAUACAGUAUUAUUCAUAGUGUAUUCACAAGAUAAAUACACUGAUAAACGGCAGACUGGUAUUCGAUAAAUUAUUCGUAGUGUGUUCACAUAAUAAACACACUGAUAAACUGCACGGCAUCAUGUAAUGUGACAAUUCGAGAACAGAUGCAUGAAUUCUUCAUUUCGUACAGAAGGGGUGAUCGAUUAAGGUCACAAAUGAAAUACAGAACCAUGACAUUAUACAGGAAUGAAGGACUGGAUAUGUGGCCUCAGAAGAUCAUCACCUAACAGCAGCCUGAUGACCUUUGGGCCCGGUUGCCACCCACCACAUCGACAGUGUCAGGCACGUACCUUCAUGAAACAGUUUUAAGGUAAGUGCAAAGUUUCUUCGUAAUUGCAAAUAAAGAAGAUUGUGUUGCAUACGAAAUGGAAGAUAAACUUAAGUUUUUGGUAAAACUGCAUCAAACAAAACUAACCAGGAACUGACUGAAGUUCAAGUCAUGCAAACAACAACAAACAUGAAUAAAUACCUUGAAACACAAUUAAGGUGUGUAUUCAGGGAAAGAAACACCUAACACUUCAAUUGUUACACAGAAAUGACAGAUUAAUGACCAAUAGCAGAAAGCUUGGUACCAUUGUACCAUUAUCCUGAUGGAUAUUUAAUGUUGAACUAUUGUAAAAAUCCUAACAGCUAUACAUUUUGAAAAAGAAUACUAAGAGAGCAAAAGAAUUUGCUUACAAUUCUUCUUCAGGUUCAUUCUUCAGGGCAUUCUUUACAAUGCAUUGAAAAGCAUCUUCCACAUUAGUUCCUUCUUUGGCAGACGUCUCAAAGUAAGGUAUGUUGCCUUUUGAGGCACACCAAGCCUUUGCCUUUUUCUCAGAGACCUAAGAUGGCAGAAGAUAAGUCCACUAAAAGCCCAUGGCUUAGAAAAUGCAGUGACAAAUAAAAUAUUACAAUUACCACGCGGCUGUUGCCACCAUCAAUAUCAACUUUGUUUCCAAGCAGAACAAAAGGGAAGUUAUCAGGAUCAGAUGGGCUAGCCUGAAAAGUUGGAUUUGGAAGAAGGUCACAUCUCAGGGCACUGGAGGGUUUACAGAUUAUGGAAAAUUAAGAAUCGUCACCUGAAUUAGAAAUUCUUCACGCCAGUUGUUCAGAUUAUCAAACGAUUUCAUAGAGUUAACAUCAUAAACUAGAACACAACAAUCGGCUCCACGGUAGAAUGCAACACCAAGACUCUGAAACCUUUCCUGUCCAGCAGUAUCCCAUAUCUGCAGAUAUAGGAUGUAGAAUAUCAUAAUCCAUAAAGCGGAACAAAUGCAGUAAGAGCUAAACAUGACCAUGAGAUGCACAAAUGCAAAAGAUAAUUUUGAAUGAGUUGGGGUAGGUAAAAGGAGGACUCUGACAAAAUAAUUUUCUUGAUCAAGCCAAAUCCAUAUAUCCCCAAAUUACUAAACCUCUAUGCACAUGUGGUCACAUAUACAGGGGAAAAAAGCGUGUUGGUAUUGUACACAAGUGAACACAAAAUAAAACCAAUGUUUAUUUUGCAUGUUCAUAGUUAACAACAGUUAGCAGAUUCAAAGUAUUUGAACAGAAAACAGGUAAUUACAGUCAUAGAAAAGGUUUCCAGGUUCAGAUACUACAAGCAAAAAUUAUGAUGAAGAACCAACACGGACUUACUGAACAGGACACAGAACACAGAUAAAGACUCACGGACUGUCUCGCUCUACUUGCACCAAGAGACCAUUGAUCUAAUUAUGAUUAACCACAAGAGGUCCAAACUAAUCACAUCCGUCAAGAGAGCCUUCAUGGUAUGCAGAAGCUUAGACCCACAGUCUGUUUACAACUUACAGAUACCUUGUAACAAUAUUUUUCAUAUUGAGUCCGUAUAUGUUAGGGCCAAUAAAACAGCACGGACAUGCUAAACUAUAUUUCAGCUUUAACUUGUUUUGGAGCUCUCUCCAUUAGUUAAAUUGUUGCCUGUUACUUUGCAUUCAAAAUAACAGCAAUUCAGUUUCUCAUGAUCCUGUUAAGAAACUAUGUACACAACUAACUUGUUCCGAGCAUCAGUAAGCAAGCACUAGGUUGGUGAUUACUUGUUUUCAUGAGGACGCGUGACUAAUCUCAAGCUAAGGUCAACAGCUGACAGAAUCAAGUGUACUACCUGAAGAGUGAAGAGCCUGUCCUCGAACUGCACCUCCUUGGUGAGGAAAUCGGCACCGAUUGUAGCCUUGUACUGAUUGCUGAACUUCUUGUUCACAUAUCUGAAUUACAUCAAAGCUAAGGAAACACUAAGAAAAGUUCUAUGCGAAUUUUAAGUGUCGCAUCUUGAUGUCAAGGGGAAGCAAGUAAAACGAAGGAACUAUUCCUCGGCAAAUCAAAUUGCAGGAUACUGGUUCAUCAGCGAAGUCUUCCCGACCCUGGAUCGCACAAAGAAAAGGUGAGCAAAAGAAAACAGCCGGAGAUUUUCAGAUUGAAAGGAGAAAGAUCCGAGACACCCACCCGCUGUCGCCGAGGAUGAUGACCUUGAGGAGCGUGCGCCGUCGCGAGGCCAUCGGGAUCGACCAAGGGCUCGUGCUCCGCGCGCCUGGGGGGGAGAGAAAGAGAAGGGAGGCUAGGGAGAGAGAGAACCCUAGCAGUGUUUGCUACCUUGCCGUCGCGGCUCGCGGCGAAGGGGGGAAGGGGCGCUUGGUUUGGCCACAGAGGAGACCACACAGAUGGGCCCGCGCCCCGCGGGAUCUCAUCCGGUUUGACCAGGAACUUCCCGGAAACGGUUCGAGCCUGAUGAUUGGUGCAGGCGCAACCACCCAUCAGCUGUCACGGAACGAUGGAAUCAUCCAGAUUAAUAAGCGAUCGAGAGCAGAGAUUAGGGCACUACAAAAUGAUGAUUAAGCUCAUCAUGAAGCAACAGCACCAGCAGAUGCCAUAUGGGGAAGCUCAAUGUACCAUUAUUCGAAUAAAUAUCCCAUGCAGACCUAUUGAACCAUUCAUGAUCGGUAAUGCUACACAACAGACGUACGUUCAGAAUCUUAAAGAAUCGGACGCUCCGACAUAUAUUGCAUUUCUGCAUGUUUUAUAUUGAAUGUUGCAUGAAAUAUAGUGGUCAUGUUGCGGCGGGAAUUUUCUAUCCCAGAGUUGAACGACGUAGUCAUUUUUAUACAUUAUUUUGCAUGUUGCAAAUAGUGACUGCUGAUGUUGCACUAGGUAAUUUUUGAUGCUUCGUCAGAAUAUCCGAUGGAAAAUUUCCCAUCGAACAUCCGGGCACUAGCAGCGCCGAUCAGGGAUAUGCUUUUUUUUUCCCGAACAACAGGGAUAUGCUUUUUCACGCUUGGCAUCAUGGAGGCAGCAAGAUUUGGGUGCUUCUCUUUUGUCUUGCUGGGCGUUUCUUCUUCAUGUUUGCCUCUCCGAUUGACAGGUUACUGGAUCUAGUCAGUACUCCCCUCUGGUCCGGAACGCUUGAUGUUCUGAUAGCCUGCUCCUAAUGCACACCUUACCGAGGUGAGUACUAGUCAUCGUUUCAGGAUUUUGACAAGUCUAAUGGCAAUACACAUGCAUACAAUUUACAACUUAAACCUCCCAUCCGCCCAACCAAAAAAAUGCAUAAAUCAAACCAGAAGAAAAGGAACGAGGAAAAAAAAACAAAACUCAAUCCCACGGCGGCUGCGUUACCACCUUGACACGCGCAUGCACACGAACAGUGGGCUCAUCAGUAUUCAGUAAGCUGACGAGGUGCCGAAAAAAUGUUGGGUGUCACGUCUGGCCGCGUCUGCCGGUGGUGCGCCGGCUCAUCCUCUCGGUGUCGCCGGCCGCGCGCCUCCCCGACCACUGCUGCCCUCCCUGCGCGGCCGCGGGCGGGGGCACCUCGCCCGUGUCGCCCCCGCUGCUGGCCGUGUACUCGCUGGACGGGUUCAGCCCGUACUCGCUGGUGGGGUUGCUGAACUCGCUGCUCGCGUACUCCGAGAUGGUGCCGGUGCCGGUGCCGGUGGUGCUCCCUCCCGCGCCCGGCCCGAACGCCAUCCGCCGCAGCCGGCCGAUCUGGUCCGUCGUGCCGCCGCCCGACCGCUGCAUCGCGCUCUGCCCCGGCCUCACGCCGGCGUUCAGGUCCUCCACCGACAGCUCGCCCUCCAGGUACCGGACGAUCUGGCCAUUCAUUCGAUAGCGGCGCGAUGGGUUAGUUUUGUUACGCUUGCUGUCACCGCUGCGUUCGGUACGGGACGUCUAGGCAAAGAGGAGAUGUUCCUUUACCUGGGUCAUCCGCGGGCGAGACCGCGCGGUCUGGCGCACGGCGGCCGCGGCGCACGCGAUCAGCCGCGCCAUGUCGUACGCGUCGUAGUUGGUCUCCAGCCUCGGGUCGAUCAGCUCGUCGUAGUUCUCCUCCUCCACGGCUCUCGUCAGCAACGGCCUAGCCUGUUGGACAGAAACGGAGAUCCUUCACCACUCGUUGCAGAUGGAAUGGGGAAAAACGAGGACCAGACUAGAUGAACUUGGAACCAAUGUCGUUGUGAUGCUAUCAUUAGCAACUUACAACCAGCUACCGACGGUCAGUUCACAGUUAAACCGAGUGAUUGGUGACUAAUUUGGGUAGUAAUAUGAAGCACUGAAUGUUGCAACGACAUGGAAUGGCAGCAUUGGGUCCAAGUCCAAAAGAGGGUACUCACCCAGGAAACCAGCGUCUCAGGCUGAUAAGCUGAAGAUGUCAUGAUAGGCUUCCUCCCGGUGAUCAGUUCCAGAAGCAUCACGCCGAAGGAGAAGACAUCGGACCGGUCGCUAACUUUGCCUGUGGCAGCGUACUCUGGCGCCAAAUAUCUGAAGACAAAAGGAAACGGCAGCAGAUUCAGUCUACAUCACCACAUGCACCGGUUCAUGCAUCAGCAGUUUAUAAUGCACGGUGACAACGUCACAGUCAGAACAAUUUACCCGAAAGUUCCCAUUAUGCGUGUAGAAACAGCCGUGACUUCAGCUGCUUGGUAUCUGGCCAACCCAAAAUCUGCAACCUGUACAGAAGCAGUUCACCCCUCAGAUAAACGAGCAGGAAAGCAGACUAAUGGCAUUCUGUGUCAUUUUUGAACACUUUAGAUCAGAAAGACACCAAGAGCUCUCACAAUUUACCUUUGGUUCGUAGUUGUAAUCAAGAAGGAUGUUCGCCGCCUUUAUGUCACGAUGGAUAAUCUUAGGAUGACCUGACACCAAACCAAAACCAGACCGUUUUUAUCAGCGACAGAACAGAAGCUUCAGAAAUUCCGUGCAGAGGAACAGAGGGCAAGAGCCAAGAACUCACAAUCUUCGUGCAGAUAGGCGAGCCCCUUCGCCGAGCCGACGGCGAUCUUCCACCGCCGCGGCCAGUCCAGCGUCGGCCUGCUGCUCCCUGGACCAAUCUCAAAUGUCAGGCUCAAAUGCCAGCUAUUGAGCAGCAUUCACGAAGCCGACCAACACCGAGCAUGCAUGAAGCGUUCUUACCGUGGAGGUGGAACUCGAGGGUCUUGUUGGGGACGUACUCGUAUACGAGCAGGCGCUGCUCGCCGUAGAGGCAGUAGCCGACGAGGGAGACGAGGUUCUUGUGGUGGACGCGGCUGAUGAUCUCCACCUCGGCGCGGAACUCGCGGUCGCCCUGCCCGCUCCCGGCGCGCAGCUUCUUGAUGGCCACCUCCUGCCCGCCCAGCGUGCCGCGGUACACGUGCCCGAACCCGCCCUGCCCCAGUAGGUUCGCGUCCGAGAACCCGUCCGUGGCCGCCGCCAGGUCGUCGUACCCGAAGGUGCCGCCCAUGAUCGCCGGCGAAGGGUUCAGCGGCGGCAGCGGCGACUCGGACGGCCCCCGGCUGCUCUGCCACGAGUGCAUCAGCGGCGGCGUCGAGGACGAUGGCGUCGUCGACGGCGCGUGCGACAUGUGCGGCGGCGUCACAGGCCGCCGCGGGUCGUAGAACUCGCCUGGUGCCACACAACAGGACAAGAAAGAGCAAAACGAUCGGUCAGUCCAGCAGAAUCUAGCGAGCAAAAAUGGCGCGAACGCGCACCGUUUCAACCGCGCGCAGACAGCUCGCGAUCCAGGGGGCACGAAGUCACGAACGCAUCGGUGCAUCGCAUCGCAGGGUAUGCCGGUGGCGCUCGAUGGUGACCGUCACCCGCGACACGCGCAGUGAUUAGGGGCCGUGGAAUCACGCCGUGCCACGCGGUCACCACGCUAAUGCUGGGGCGGGACCGGCGUCCGGCGUCGCGACGCGCAUUGUCGCAUCGCAUCAACGUGCCCACGACGGAACAUUACUUCGUCGAACAGUACUCUACUCUUGUUGAUCGCACGCGUACCAAAGCAAGAAAGGCGACCGCGUUGUAUGCGCGUACGUACCUGGGAACCCUUGAUGGGACGGCGGCGGCCGCCGGCGGCGCUUCCUUCCGACGAAGAAGUAGAUGAGCCCGGCGGCGAGGCCGAGCAGGACAACCGCCGCGACGGCCACGCCUAUGCCCACCGCGACGCCGCUGCUCGACGACUUGGAGGCGGGCGGUGAAGACGUUGCUGGCGUUCCUGGCGACGUGGACGGCGGAGGUGGAGACAGCGACAGAUGUGACGGCGGAGGCGGCGCGGCCGGUGAUGCUGGGACGCCGGUAGGGGGUGGCGGAGAGGUGGGGACGUCAUCGGGAGGAGGCGGUGACGCCGGGACGCCGCUGGGAGGAGGAGGCCGCGGUACGGGCGGAGGAGGAGAUGGCGUCGGAACGAUCGCCGCCGGUGGAGGAGGAGAUGGCGUUGGCACGGUCGCCGGUGGAGGUGGGGACGGCGUCGGCACGAUCACCGGUGGAGGUGGGGACGGCGUCACCGGCGGAGGCGGCGGGGGAGGAGACGGUGUACUCGUAGGUGGAGAUACCGGCGGCUGCACCGUUGGCGGUGUAGUGGGCGGUAGCGCCGUUGGUGGCGUAGUCGGCGGCUGCGCCGUUGGCGGCACCGGCGCUGUAACGGGUGGCGUCACCGGUGUAGUCGGGGCCACCGGCGUGGUGGGCGCCUGCGGCGCCGGAGCCACCGGCGGCGUUGGUGUCGGGGAGGACAUGGUGUCGCUGCUCGAUCGCUCCCGCCGGUGCAAUUUAGUCUCCCGGUGUGGGCAGACUACGACCAGACAAGGCAGCAGCAGCACCAACGGAGCAGAAGCGAUGACCGGACGGACGCGGGGUAUCUAUGUGCUGGAGGACGCACUCCGCCAGUUAUCCGUGAGGCGGAUUUCGCUUGAAUUGGCCGUGCGCGUUUCGGCUUCGCUUGCCGGGCUCGGGCGACAGCAACAGCCUACGCGGGGGCGCAGUGAUUCGUGUUUAAAUACGGACCCGGCCUGUUUUACUCACUUUUCUAUGGAGUUGUUGGAUAAGAUUGACCGUGCAAAAGUCAGAGAUUGAUGGUGGGAUUAAAUUUGUGUUCGUGCUAGAAGGGGGCUCUACAUACUGGAGCCCCUAAUCAUAUGCGUCGACGCCGUGCCUGGUCAGAGCUUUCGACGGCAGGUGUGCGCGCAGACCCGGUUCGCGUACAGGUAGACAGCACGGCAAGCGGCAGCUAGCAACCUCACCAACAAGGGCAACAACUUCGGUUGCCAUGGCGCGACGACAACGGCCCGGACACCCCCGGGCGGGCGACGGCUCGUUGCGUUGCGUGUGGGUGUGGUGGUAGCAGACACACGAAGGAACCUGCUGGCUGCUGCCGACUUGUCCUGCCCGCCCUACUGCUCUCUGGACGAGUAUGGGUGUAUGCAUGCCUGUUCCGAACCGCGUCCAAUCCUUCUUCUUGUCUUGCUCUGAAGGUCGCGAGUGUCUCAUUCCCAAUCGGAACGGGAGAGUUUUCUUAUCCGGUAGCUUGCCGAAACGGGCUUCGGAUUAACUACUGGCACGCAAUGCGUUUGCCUGCAGUGUGAAUCCGAUUAACACGUAAAUCUGUUUGCAACUUGCAGAGCGCGAGAUAUCAUUGUCAUUAACCUCGCUCAUGAGGCGAUCAGCAGGGAUGGUUACGUGCUGACCUCACCACAGACUCACCAUCGUUCCGUAUUCUAUUACGAGGUCGGAUGCGUGUUCAUCGCUUCGCGCACGUUUGGAGGCGAAGCAGCCGGCAGAGGGCAGCCGGCAGCGAGGAACGUCCAGGAUGAAUAUAUGAUGAACCACCAGACAUUCCCGUUGACCCACCCGUUGUCCGCACAGGUCCUCGAACAACGCAUUAAUCAUGUACCAGAUGGGUCCUGGGCCACAACCUGCAAGUGCCGUAUUUGCAUAGCUGCACUGCAUCUGCCAAGGCAGCAGCUCGGACGGCAUUUUCUGUGACUUGAUCACUAGGUGACCAAAUCACGAGGCACAUAGGUUUUCGAAAAUGGACUCGCAAGAUAAAAUUGGUUAUUGUACAAACAAGUUGGGAUGCUGCUAACUGGGUCUGGUAUAAGAUGACGAGGCUGUACUAAACUAGUGGAUGGUGAAGCUAUACUAAACAAUUGCUGAAUACAACACCGCUUUUCUUUCUUUAUUUAGCAUAUGGGGGCAGAGAAUGUUCAAACAGCCAAAAUGGUGUGCAUGGAGAGAUUCUUCAACAGUCAUCAUUGAAAGUUCUAGUUGAGUAAUAAUAGGGAAAGUCAAAUUCCCCUUUACAACCCUCACUUGCAUUACCAGGUCGAAGUGAGAUAAACAACAAAACAUGCAGACAUGGCAGUGAUAAGGAUAGCAAUGACAGGCGUGGUAAGGUGAAAAUAGAAGCACACCUGGUGUUCAUCGAUCAAGGCAGUGGAGACGAGGAUGGUUGUGUCACAGGUAGGCUGGAUAUCGAAGAAAAAUUUGUUUAAACAAACUUCCUUCAAAACGGCUUCGUAUUGAUCAAGUUCCAUUAUGUACAUAGUAUAGGAUCAGUUUUACAAUCAAGUUAACGACAAGCCUUAGUGUAGUGAAAUUCUGUUCAGAAUUAACUCGUUCAAUUCAGACCAUUUAUAAACUUAAACCAAAGCAGUUUUCAACCAAUCCCAUGAGCCCAUUAGACAAGCUGAAGUGGAAGAGUUGUAGUUGUUGGGAUUGAAGGUAUUUGCACCAUGAGGGGAAGGUGAUGGUGAUGGAAGAAGUAGAUGUUGAUAAAGAAGCUGAGACUGUUAAUUGUGGUUACAAAUAUCGGAGUUGUCCCUGUCUAAACCUCCUACAAAACCCCUUUUUCAUUUUACCCAGAAUAACAUGGCCUGCACUGAACUCAUCUUCUUCACGAAGAUUAACAACUACGAAAGUCUUACUGUCAUCUUACCCAGGUUGGACCUAGUCUGAGAUCCACGUGCUUCUUCUUGACCCAAAACUUUUAGCGACUUUGCAACACUAAAUUUCCAUGAGAAGUUUCAACGAUUUUGUCAGUCCCUUUAAGAAGUUGCCUAGGUGGCUAUUUUAAAGCAAUCAUAAUCUUGGCGGAGAAAAUUAGAAACUAACACAUAUCAAAGCUCUCGGCACUGUGUUUUGUGAAAACUGAUGAGGAACAAUUAGAAACUAACACAGAUCAAAGCCGCCUUAAGCAAGAACAGUCAAGUGACAACUACAUAUAAGACGAGCACCCCAACUCCACAUUCAAAGAGAUCCAAAAUACUCUUUGUUUAACUCUAUGCCUAGACAUAAAAACUUCACCAAAUUCAAACUUGAUUGUAAGAGCCAAAAGGUAAUCCAUGAAUUUUGGAGGGAAGAAAUGAAACAAGACCAAACCCAGUUCACCAAAUCGGAGGAAUCAAAAUGUAAGUUAAAACCCAUGGAAUUAAAAAAGUAAUGGAAAAUGGUGAUUUCGUAUAAAUUAAAAUCCAUCUUGAUGAAUAGUUCCACAUGGGAUGGACACGAUGGCUGGAAUGCACUUAAAAAAACUACAAAACUUCGAGUAUAUUUGUCCUGUACGGAUGAAUCAUAUCAGUAAAUGAACUUAGUCUAGCAGAGAGGAAAUCUAGUUUCGGGGUGUUUAAAGUGAGGCUAUUAAUUCUAUAACAGGAUUUAGUUAAAUAAAUUGUAACAAUCUAAAUCCACUAUCCCAGCAAAUUUAAAAGGUUGAUAAACUUACAUAAUCUCCCAUUUCCCAUAUGAAAGGGUUACAAAAAGGUAAACUUACAUAUCUCACGCACAAACAAAAAUAUGCAUUGUUAAAAAUGACUAAAUGAGAAUUGUGCGGUUAUGACAACUGAGCAACAAGCAGGUAAGAUGCAACAUGUUGCAACUAAGAUGCCAAUCCAACAAUCAUCCAUGACAUUGGCAUAUUAAAAAUAUAGAAGUAGCAUGACAUGUCAAAAGUAAUGGGUUCAAGAAGCCAUUCAGUAUCAGUUUAAAGGGCACUGCAGCUAAUGAGCAAAGAUACUGAAAUUCAAAUGUGUAAAUAUGAAACUGAGAGUCAAUCUCAGUUACACUCUCCAGCAAGCAAAAAUUAUCAAUUCUAGCAAGGCUUUAACCAAACUUCAUUAUUUCGGGCUUUUGGUAUGUCGUGUAGAAUUACUAACAUGAUCAGCACAGCACCAAUCUGCUCAACAUUAAAAACAAUCACUAUUUGAUACCAUACUUCAUUAUAUUAUCCUUUUCAACAUCUUCCCAGCUAACCUACCUAUCCUGUUUUGGAAAAUAAAACUGGCUCUCCAGCUACGUAAAAUUCAGAAUCUGCAAGAGCCACAAGGCACUAUCAUGAUCUAAUUUGAACUCAGCUACAGAAUGUUGAAUGUUUACAGCACCUCUAGUUAGAAAAUCAAGCUAUCAUCUCAUUAUACUUGCAACCAUAUAACACCUAACAAGGGCACAGCAAAGCAAGCCUCGUACUCCACUUCAGCCAGGCAGCCACAGACUAAAAAUCACUCAUUCAGUUCAUUUGCGAGUAUAUAAUACCCUGAGUAUAUCCCUUCCACCGAAGUCAUGAAUAACACUGGUACCCACUGCUAUUGACAGCAGAACAUUAUCAAAUCAAUUCAAACAUAUCAAGUUUCAGCAGUUGAAAAGACAAGUCAUUACACCUUAUUCAUUGGGAUCCCACACAACGGUUCAGCAUUCCAGAAUGCUCCAUCAGAUUCAGACUAAAGCCGGGCACAAACCGAGCGAAGACUCCUCGCAGCCCGGCCGAGGGAGCAGGCGCGCCGCUCAGAGGAACUUCCGGUACGGCCGGCCAGCGUCCUCGUCCUGCAUAUGCUGCAGCCAACCCCAGAUUCGAUCUUAGGGUUUGGACUUCGGAGAAUGGAAGAAUGAAACGCGGAAUGGCAGGGGGUUUGCAGAGGCAUUACGAAUUCGCGGACGAUGCCCUUGUAGACGAGGAUGGGGACGGCGAGGCCGAACAGCCCGACGACGGCGAGGCUGCGGCGGGUCCAGCGGAAGUUGAACUCGAGGUUCUCCCGGCCGGCGUUCCACUCCUCGAUCCACCGGUUCUUGUGCACCUCCAUGCCGCCACCCAUCUUCUCCUCCUCUCUUCCUUCGAUCCGCCGCGAUGCGAAAUGGGUGCUGGUUGCUAGCGAGACGGCGAGAGAGUGAUUUGGUUUGGAGGAUUUGGGGAAGACUGGCCUGCUUCUCCGGUUGGAGGAAGGGGAUUGCGCGUACCGCAAACGGAUCGCGGAGGCGUAUAGUUAGGAUUACACAAGGCGAAAACAAAUGGGUUGUUUAUGUUCCC